CAGUAGCCACGGUAAUACAGAGGGUGCAAGCGUUCAUCGGAAUUACUGGGCGUAAAGCGCGCGUAGGUGGUUUGUUAAGUUGGAUGUGAAAUCCCCGGGCUCAACCUGGGAACUGCAUCCAAAACUGGCAAGCUAGAGUAUGGUAGAGGGUGGUGGAAUUUCCUGUGUAGCGGUGAAAUGCGUAGAUAUAGGAAGGAACACCAGUGGCGAAGGCGACCACCUGGACUGAUACUGACACUGAGGUGCGAAAGCGUGGGGAGCAAACAGGAUUAGAUACCCCAGUAGUCCCUGUCUCUUAUAC
rnacentral:rRNA from 1 species